rnacentral:lncRNA from 1 species
UUAGGGUGUUUUACGCACACUACCAAGUGAAUGUAAGAAAACAGGAGGUCCCUAUUUCUGUAUUUAAAUAUAAGUUUUUUAGCAUGAUAACUUCUGAGGUUCAGUUGUAGCCCCUAUAAAAAUAUUACUUUAUUGUUCGGUUAAAAAGGGUAUAUAUUUUCCCUAAAUAUUUACCACUCUAUAGUACCAUAUAUAUCACAGCAAUCAUACACAAACCAAACACAUAAAUAAACAAAUUACUGCAUUAAACAUUUUUUGCCAAUUUCCUAAUUUAUUUUAUUUUAUUACAGUUUAUGGAUGAAAUCCGUACACUGAUGUCUAACCUGUAAUGAAAGCCAACCUGUUCAGCUUACCACAGCCUUGUAUACCACCAGGGGUUUGCGGACUACAGUUUGGAAAUUAGACCACUCCAGCUGCUUCAAAGGUAUAACGAUGUCCACUACUCCGUCCCUACCCCUAGACCUUCUGGUUGCUGUGUAAAACAUUUCUGCUACUUUAUCUGAUUUCCUCUGGGAUUAACUCUGGUUCUGCUACUGCUUUUAGCUUUCCGAAGUAGCAGCAAGCUGGCAUUCUCCAUUGCCCACAGGUUUCUAAACAACACAAGUAAAACUGUUCAGACCAUCCAUAAUGUCACUACUACCUGACAAAAGAACAAACAGAAGCAGAAAAUAAAAAAAAGUCUAGAUUUAGAAAAACUAGCCA